rnacentral:rRNA from 1 species
AAAGGAAUUGACGGGGGCCCGCACAAGCAGCGGAGCGUGUGGUUUAAUUCGAUGCAACACGAAGAACCUUACCAGGGCUUGACAUGCACGUGGUAGCGGAGCGAAAGCCGAGCGACCCUUCGGGGAGCGUGCACAGGUGCUGCAUGGCUGUCGUCAGCUCGUGCCGUGAGGUGUUGGGUUAAGUCCCCUAACGAGCGCAACCCCUGUUGCUAGUUAGAUCUUUCUAGCGAGACUGCCGGUACAAUACCGGAGGAAGGUGGGGAUGACGUCAAGUCAGCAUGGCCUUUAUGUCCUGGGCUACACACACGCUACAAUGGUCGGUACAGAGGGUAGCCAAGCCGCGAGGCGGAGCAAAUCUCAGAAAGCCGGCCCCAGUUCGGAUUGCAGGCUGCAACCCGCCUGCAUGAAGUCGGAGUUGCUAGUAACCGCUGGUCAGCCAUACAGCGGUGAAUACGUUCCCGGGCCUUGUACACACCGCCCGU